rnacentral:lncRNA from 13 species
AUGCUGCACCGUUACUCUGACGCCACCCGGGGGAACCUGUCCAAGAUCCUGCAGUUAAAGAUCGUGGCGCUGGAGGUGCACAACCAUGACAUCAUCAACAAGCUGGCCAAGUCGGGCUGUAACCACGUCAACACCUUGGACUGGCUCUGCCAGCCCCACCUCUACUUGGCGAAGCUCCUGGCCAAGACGGAGUUCACCCUGUACUCUCUGGUGGUGCAGCAGCUGUCAAAACAUGACCACUCUGACUAUGCUGGCAAGAACAGACUAGUCUGCACAAGACCAGAUCCUGCUGAUGUCAAUGAAGGACAUGAACAACACCAAGGUGUCCUCCGUCGACCUGUCGCUGUUCAACAACAUCAUCCAGGACCUCAUCCCCGCGGUGGAGACCCCCACCAUCGACUACAGAAAGGUACCAAAAACAACUCUCCACAAAUUGUCGCAAACUAGAUAAGGAGAGGGACAAACAGACAGAAGGUUUGAAACACUCAACACUCUGGAGCAUUAGAGAAACACAAAGUGGCCUCCUAGUUCCACAUUCCAGUUGAGCUGAAAAUGACUCGUCAAUGCAGCCUGUCUAAGCAGAUGGGCGUAAUUCAUUAACUAUAGGACAAGGGACAGAGGGAGCCUCACAGUUUAACUAAUGAGUCUCCCAGUCCCUAAAACGGCUCAACGCUUCAGGCUUCAGUCAACGGACACUCAAUGUGCCUUUGUCUGGGUGAUGGUGGGACAUACACAGG